UGGCAGGAACCAUGCGAGAAGCUGCCAGCCAACCCCGCCAGGUCCGGAAGGAAGCAACGGCAACUGGAGAGCGCUGCGCCGUGGCCAAUCCUGCCCGGU
rnacentral:SRP_RNA from 1 species